GACGAACGCUGGCGGCGUGCUUAACACAUGCAAGUCGAAAGAAGUGGCGACCGGGUGCGUAAUGCGUAAUCAACCUGCCCUUCAGAGGGGGACAACAGUUGGCAACGACUGCUAAUACCUCAUACUGAAGGAGGGGAUUUCGUCUGAUUAGCUAGGUGGAGGGGUAACGGCCCACCAAGGCGAUGAUCAGUAGCCGGUCUGAGAGGAUGAACGGCCACAUUGGGACGGAGACACGGCCCAGACUCCUACGGGAGGCAGCAGUGGGGAAUCUUCCGCAAUGGACGAAAGUCUGACGGAGCAACGCCGGGUGAGUGAUGACGGCCUUCGGGUUGUAAAGCUCUGUUAAUCGGGACGCGGUACCGGAAUAGAAAGCCACGGCUAACUACGUGCCAGCAGCCGCGGUAAUAC
rnacentral:rRNA from 1 species